GAUGAACGCUGGCGGCGUGCCUAAUACAUGCAAGUCGAGCGAACAGACGAGGAGCUUGCUCCUCUGACGUUAGCGGCGGACGGGUGAGUAACACGUGGAUAACCUACCUAUAAGACUGGGAUAACUUCGGGAAACCGGAGUUAAUACCGGAUAAUAUAUUGAACCGCAUGGUUCAAUAGUGAAAGACGGUUUUGCUGUCACUUAUAGAUGGAUCCGCGCCGCAUUAGCUAGUUGGUAAGGUAACGGCUUACCAAGGCGACGAUGCGUAGCCGACCUGAGAGGGUGAUCGGCCACACUGGAACUGAGACACGGUCCAGACUCCUACGGGAGGCAGCAGUAGGGAAUCUUCCGCAAUGGGCGAAAGCCUGACGGAGCAACGCCGCGUGAGUGAUGAAGGUCUUCGGAUCGUAAAACUCUGUUAUUAGGGAAGAACAAAUGUGUAAGUAACUAUGCACGUCUUGACGGUACCUAAUCAGAAAGCCACGGCUAACUACGUG
rnacentral:rRNA from 1 species